rnacentral:rRNA from 1 species
UAAGGCAUGCAAGUCGAACGAGUCUUUGUAAUUUAUUAUGAAGACUAGUGGCAAACGGGUGCGUAACACAUUGGUAAUCUACCCCAAAGUUAGGAAUAACUCGAGGAAACUCGGGCUAAUACCUAAUGUGCAGUGUACUUUUCAAUAGUACACUGUAAAGCUCCGGCGCUUUGGGAGGAGCCUAUGGCCUAUCAGCUUGUUGGUGGUGUAAAAGACCACCAAGGCUACGACAGGUAGCGGGUGUGAGAGCACGACCCGCCUCACUGGGACUGAGACACUGCCCAGACUCCUACGGGAGGCUGCAGUCAAGAAUCUUCCCCAAUGCACGAAAGUGUGAGGGAGCGACGCCGCGUGAAUGAAGACGCCCUUCGGGGUGUAAAAUUCUUUUCUAUGGGACGAACUAAUGACGGUACCAUAGGAAUAAGGGGUGGCUAACUUCGUGCCAGAAGCCUCGGUAAUACGAAGGCCCCAAGCGUUAUCCGGAUUUAUUGGGCGUAAAGCGUACGUAGGCGGUUUAGCAAGUCAGUGGUAAAAUCCCAAGGCUCAACCUUGGACCUGCCCCUGAAACUGCUAAACUAGAGGCUGGAAGAGGCAAGCGGAAUUGCCGGUGUAGGGGUCAAAUCCGUUAAUAUCGGCAGGAACACCAAAUGCGAAGGCAGCUUGCUAGGACAGUCCUGACGCUAAGGUACGAAAGCGUGGGGAGCGAAGCGGAUUAGAUACCCGCGUAGUCCACGCCGUAAACGAUGGAUACUAGGCAUUGGAAGUAUCGACCCUUUCAGUGCCGACGAACCAAGCUAACGCAUUAAGUAUCCCGCCUGGGGAGUACGGCCGCAAGGCUAAACUCAAAGGAAUUGACGGGGACCCGCACAAGCGGUGGAGCACGUGGUUUAAUUCGACGAUAAGCGAGGAACCUUACCAAGGCUUGACAUCUAGCUGCAAGCUCUUAAAAAUUAAA